rnacentral:rRNA from 1 species
UAAUCGCAGAUCAGCAACGCUGCGGUGAAUACGUUCCCGGGGCUUGUACACACCGCCCGUCAAGUCAUGAAAGUUGGUAACACCCGAAGCCGGUGGCCUAACCGUUGUGGGGGAGCCGUCGAAGGUGGGACUGGUGAUUAGGACUAAGUCGUAACAAGGUAGCCGUACCGGAAGGUGCGGCUGGAUCACCUCCUUUCUAAGG